rnacentral:tRNA from 1 species
CGGGUAUGGUUUAGUGGCAGAACAUUUGGUUGCCAAUCAACUGGCGGGAGUUCGAUUCUCCCACACCCGACCA